AUUGAACGCUGGCGGCAGGCCUAACACAUGCAAGUCGAGCGGAUGAAGGGAUCUUGCUCCUGGAUUCAGCGGCGGACGGGUGAGUAAUGCCUAGGAAUCUGCCUGGUAGUGGGGGAUAACGUCCGGAAACGGGCGCUAAUACCGCAUACGUCCUGAGGGACAAAGUGGGGGAUCUUCGGACCUCACGCUAUCAGAUGAGCCUAGGUCGGAUUAGCUAGUUGGUGGGGUAAAGACCUACCAAGGCGACGAUCCGUAACUGGUCUGAGAGGAUGAUCAGUCACACUGGAACUGAUACACGGUCCAGACUCCUACGGGUGGCAGCAGUGGGGAAUAUUGGACAAUGGGCGAAAGCCUGAUCUAGCAAUGCCGCGUGUGUGAAGAAGGUCUUCGGAUUGUAAAGCACUUUAAGUUGGGAGGAAGGUCAGUAAGUUAAUACCUUGCUGUUUUGACGUUACCAACAGAAUAAGCACCGGCUAACUUCGUG
rnacentral:rRNA from 1 species